UCCCUGAUGGUCCAGUGGUUAGGACUCAGCACUUUCACUGCUGUGGAGCCGGGUUCAAUCCCUGGUCAGGGAA